rnacentral:rRNA from 1 species
GAUUAACGCUGGCGGCAUGCCUAAUACAUGCAAGUCGAACGAAAUACAUUCGUAUUUAGUGGCGAACGGGUGAGUAAAGCAUAUUUAAUCUACCUAAACGUUAGGAAUAACAGCUAGAAAUAGUUGCUAAUACCUAAUAGGAUAGCAAUAUUUAAAGGUCCUUUUGGAUCGCGUUUAGAUGAGAAUAUGUCGUAUUAGCUAGUUGGUGGGGUAAAUGCCUACCAAGGCAAUGAUACGUAGCCGACCUGAGAGGGUGAACGGCCACAUCGGGACUGAGACACGGCCCGGACUCCUACGGGAGGCAGCAGUAAGGAAUUUUUCACAAUGGACGAAAGUCUGAUGAAGCAAUGCCGCGUGAUUGAUGACAGCCUUAGGGUUGUAAAAAUCUGUUAAGAGGAAAGAAAACUAAGCAAA